GUUAGUUGGUGGGUAAAGGCCUACCAAGACAAUGAUGCAUAGCCGAGUUGAGAGACUGAUCGGCCACAUUGGGACUGAGACACGGCCCAAAUUCCUACGGGAGGCUGCAGUAGGGAAUCUUCCACAAUGGGCGAAAGCCUGAUGGAGCAACGCCGCGUGUGUGAUGAAGGCUUUCGGGUCGUAAAGCACUGUUGUAUGGGAAGAAAAGUUAAGGUAGGGAAUGACCUUAGCCUGACGGUACCAUACCAGAAAGGGACGGCUAAAUACGUGCCAGCAGCCGCGGUAAUACGUAUGUCCCGAGCGUUAUCCGGAUUUAUUGGGCGUAAAGCGAGCGCAGACGGUUGGUUAAGUCUGAUGUGAAAGCCCGGAGCUCAACUCCGGAAAGGCAUUGGAAACUGGUUAACUUGAGUGCAGUAGAGGUAAGUGGAACUCCAUGUGUAGCGGUGGAAUGCGUAGAUAUAUGGAAGAACACCAGCGGCGAAGGCGGCUUACUGGACUGUAACUGACGUUGAGGCUCGAAAGUGUGGGUAGCAAACAGGAUUAGAUACCCUGGUAGUCCACACCGUAAACGAUGAACACUAGGUGUUAGGAGGUUUCCGCCUCUUAGUGCCGAAGCUAACGCAUUAAGUGUUCCGCCUGGGGAGUACGACCGCAAGGUUGAAACUCAAAGGAAUUGACGGGGACCCGCACAAGCGGUGGAGCAUGUGGUUUAAUUCGAAGCAACGCGAAGAACCUUACCAGGUCUUGACAUCCUUUGAAGCUUUUAGAAAUAGAAGUGUUCUCUUCGGAGACAAAGUGACAGGUGGUGCAUGGUCGUCGUCAGCUCGUGUCGUGAGAUGUUGGGUUAAGUCCCGCAACGAGCGCAACCCUUAUUGUUAGUUGCCAGCAUUCAGAUGGGCACUCUAGCGAGACUGCCGGUGACAAACCGGAGGAAGGCGGGGACGACGUCAGAUCAUCAUGCCCCUUAUGACCUGGGCUACACACGUGCUACAAUGGCGUAUACAACGAGUUGCCAACCUGCGAAGGUGAGCUAAUCUCUUAAAGUACGUCUCAGUUCGGACUGCAGUCUGCAACUCGACUGCACGAAGUCGGAAUCGCUAGUAAUCGCGGAUCAGCACGCCGCGGUGAAUACGUUCCCGGGUCUUGUACACACCGCCCGUCACACCAUGGAAGUUUGUAAUGCCCAAAGCCGGUGGCCUAACCGUAAGGAGGGAACCGUCUAAGG
rnacentral:rRNA from 1 species